rfam:Cephalotus follicularis DNA, scaffold: scaffold1924, isolate: St1.
GUAUGCAAUCAUAUUAGUACGUAUGCAUUAGAUCCCAUCGGAACUUCGAAGUUAAGCAUGCUUGAUGAGAAUGGUACUAAAAACGAGCUUUGUUGCAGGAU